rnacentral:rRNA from 1 species
CCUACGGGAGGCAGCAGUGGGGAAUAUUGGACAAUGGGGGCAACCCUGAUCCAGCCAUGCCGCGUGUGUGAAGAAGGCCCUCGGGUUGUAAAGCACUUUCAGUGAGGAAGAACGCCUGGUGGUUAAUACCCAUCAGGAAAGACAUCACUCACAGAAGAAGCACCGGCUAACUCCGUGCCAGCAGCCGCGGUAAUACGGAGGGUGCGAGCGUUAAUCGGAAUUACUGGGCGUAAAGCGCGCGUAGGUGGCUUGAUAAGCCGGUUGUGAAAGCCCCGGGCUCAACCUGGGAACGGCAUCCGGAACUGUCAAGCUAGAGUGCAGGAGAGGAAGGUAGAAGUCCCGGUGUAGCGGUGAAAUGCGUAGAGGUCGGGAGGAAUACCAGUGGCGAAGGCGGCCUUCUGGACUGAAACUGACACUGAGGUGCGAAAGCGUGGGUAGCAAACAGGAUUAGAUACCCCGGUAGUC